CUGCACCCUUUUCUCUUCAGCUGGAGAGGAAGAAGAGGGAGACAAAAGACUUCCUGCAUCAGAGUGAGGUCUACCUGCAGAGCCCACAGGAGAUCCUGAGGCAGGAUGUUGUCAGGUUCAUCAGGCUCGUCAGACAGGACGUGGAUGAGUGCAGGAUGACGGAGUACAUCAAACACCCUUGAAGGCCCAAGAAAAGAUGCCAGCACCCUCAUCUCCUCCUUGGUGACUCAGACCAUCCUCAUGCUUGAAGAAAGAAGGAUGAGUUCGAGGCUUAGCCUACAGUGUCUACGCUCACUGCUGCUGAGGGCAUGGAGGAGGCUGUGCUCGGCCCCCAGCAGAGACUUGUGAAAACCUUGUGAAGUUCAAGAAAGCAAAGUGCAAGGUUUUACACCUGCGUCACGGCAAUUCCAGGCACAGCCACAGGUUGGCUGGAGCACCCCCCAUACAAAGACAGGCUGAGACAUUCGGAGGUGGAGAAGAGAAGGCUGAGUGGAGGCCUCAUAGCAGCCUUCUCAUGUCUGAGGGGGCCUACAAGGGCAUCCAAGUCCCUGACUUUUCAUCAGG